CAAGACCGCGUGAGGGAUGACGGCCUAAUGGUUGUAAACCUCUUUUCUCUGGGAAGAUAAUGACGGUACCAGAGGAAUAAGCCUCGGCUAACUCCGUGCCAGCAGCCGCGGUAAUACGGAGGAGGCAAGCGUUAUCCGGAAUUAUUGGGCGUAAAGCGUCCGUAGGUGGUUAAUCAAGUCAGCUGUUAAAGAGCGGAGCUCAACUCCGUUAGAGCGGUUGAAACUGAUUGACUAGAGUUUGGUAGGGGUCGAGGGAAUUCCCAGUGUAGCGGUGAAAUGCGUAGAUAUUGGGAAGAACACCGGUGGCGAAAGCGCUCGACUGGGCCUGAACUGACACUGAGGGACGAAAGCUAGGGGAGCGAAAGGGAUUAGAUACCCCUGUAGUCCUAGCCGUAAACGA
rnacentral:rRNA from 1 species